AUGAGACAAAAGAUCCUCUUUCUAAAGAGAUUCGAUUCGGAACUCUUAUAUGUCCAAGGUCAAUAUGGAAAUUCUUUCAGAGGUUUUCCCUUACUUUGUCCGUGUCAACAAACAAUUCGAAAUACCUCGACUUUUUCAGAACAGGUCCGAGUCAAAUAA
rnacentral:rRNA from 1 species